UACGUAGGGACCAAGCGUUGUUCGGAUUUACUGGGCGUAAAGGGCGCGUAGGCGGCCUCUGCAAGUCGACUGUGAAAUCUCCGGGCUUAACCCGGAACGGUCAGCCGAUACUGCAGGGCUAGAGUGCAGAAGGGGCAACUGGAAUUCUCGGUGUAGCGGUGAAAUGCGUAGAUAUCGAGAGGAACACCUGCGGCGAAGGCGGGUUGCUGGGCUGACACUGACGCUGAAGUGCGAAAGCUAGGGGAGCGAACGGG
rnacentral:rRNA from 1 species